rnacentral:rRNA from 1 species
CAUGUCUUUUUGAUUAUAAUUUAAAGUCUAACCUGCCCUAUGAAUAAUUUAAAUGGCUGCGGUAUUUUGACCGUACAAAGGUAGCAUAAUAAUUAGUUUUUUAAUUGGGAACUGGUAUGAAUGGUUGAACGAGAAAAAGACUGUCUCAAUUUAAUUUAAAUUAGAAUUUUAUUUUUAAGUUAAAAAGCUUAAAUAUUUUUAAAAGACGAGAAGACCCUAUAGAGUUUUAUAUAAAAUUAUAAUUAUUUAAGAAUUUAGGUAUUAUAAGUUUAUUUAAUUUAUUUUAUAUUUGGUUGGGGUGAUUAAAAAAUUGAAAAAACUUUUUUUAUAAAUUUAACAUUGAUUUAUGAUUAAAUGAUCCAUAUUUUGUGAUUAUAAGAUUAAAUUACCUUAGGGAUAACAGCGUAAUUUUUUUUUAGAGUUCUUAUCGAAAAAAAAGUUUGCGACC